rnacentral:rRNA from 1 species
AACGAACGCUGGCGGCGCGCCUAAUACAUGCAAGUCGAGCGAGAAGACGUAGCAAUACGUUUGUAAAGCGGCGAACGGGUGAGGAAUACAUGGGUAACCUACCCUCGAGUGGGGAAUAACUAGCCGAAAGGUUAGCUAAUACCGCGUACGCUCCUUGGACUUCGGUCCAGGGAGGAAAGCGAUACCGUGGGUAUCGCGCUCUUGGAUGGGCUCAUGUCCUAUCAGCUUGUUGGUGAGGUAACGGCUCACCAAGGCUUCGACGGGUAGCUGGUCUGAGAGGACGAUCAGCCACACUGGCACUGCGACACGGGCCAGACUCCUACGGGAGGCAGCAGUAAGGAAUAUUGCGCAAUGGGCGACAGCCUGACGCAGCGACGCCGCGUGGGGGAUGAAGGUCUUCGGAUUGUAAACCCCUUUCGGCAGGGAAGAUGGAACGGGUAACCGUUCGGACGGUACCUGCAGAAGCAGCCACGGCUAACUUCGUGCCAGCAGCCGCGGUAAUAC